rnacentral:rRNA from 1 species
GUGGGGAAUAUUGGACAAUGGGGGGAACCCUGAUCCAGCCAUGCCGCGUGUGUGAAGAAGGCCUUUUGGUUGUAAAGCACUUUAAGCGAGGAGGUGGCUACCGAGAUUAAUACUCUUGGAUAGUGGACGUUACUCGCAGAAUAAGCACCGGCUAACUCUGUGCCAGCAGCCGCGGUAAUACAGAGGGUGCAAGCGUUAAUCGGAUUUACUGGGCGUAAAGCGCGCGUAGGUGGCCAAUUAAGUCAAAUGUGAAAUCCCCGAGCUUAACUUGGGAAUUGCAUUCGAUACUGGUUGGCUAGAGUAUGGGAGAGGAUGGUAGAAUUCCAGGUGUAGCGGUGAAAUGCGUAGAGAUCUGGAGGAAUACCGAUGGCGAAGGCAGCCAUCUGGCCUAAUACUGACACUGAGGUGCGAAAGCAUGGGGAGCAAACAGGAUUAGAAACCCCGGUAGUCC